AAUAGUUUUAAAUAAUUAAAGGUGUGUAAAAAUAGAAAAUAUGUGUUCUCUGUAUAACGUUAGUAUUUUAUAUCUUAUGAACACUUAAGGGCAUGUUCGGUUAGCCAUUCGUAGCUUGGAACGGCCCGGAACAUUUCCAGCCCAAUAUAAAAUAUCGAAUGGUUCCAGACCGUUCCAGCCCAUAAACAAAUGGGCUCUAACAUGGAAACACAUAUUUUCUGUUUUUACACUAUUAACUAAGAAAACUAUUUAACAAGUACAAACUUAAAAAAAAUAUAUAACCCAGUCGUACAUGAUCCAAUAAGCAUAUAUUUUUUACUAUAGCUCAAACAUGUAAUGAUCAACCGACCAUAAAAAUUUAUCAUAAUUUGACCAAAGAAACUAUAGCUAUAAAUUAAUUACACAAAAGCAUAGCUCUAAAUUUACAACAAAAACUUUGUACUAGAACAAAUCUCAUAUGUUUCAGACCUCAUGUAUAAAUCCACUUUACUAGUGAAGUUAACUUUUUUUGUUUCAGCUCUAUAAAUAGCUCUAUCGGUGGAGCUAGAGUCAUUUUGAUAAAUUGUUUGGCAAAAUAGCUCCACAUAUAGAGCUCUUUUAAACAUACUUUUACCAAACCCAAUGCAAAGCCCACUAAAAAUAAGGUGAAGCUACUUUUUUUUGCUCCAUCCCACCUCAAAACAUCUAUGAGAGCAUAAUUUAAGAGGCUUUCUGUGUCAAAACUGUUUUAUUUUAUCUUGUUUGGCAUAAAAUAGCUCCUAAAGUCAUGAAAAAGUCAUGCUAGACAGGACCUCAAUGUAGCUUUACUCAUGUCGAGUCCAACAUAGUUGGAUUUCCAUUUUACGAUUUUCCUAUAAUUUUAAAGAUUCCGCUGAAAUAAAUAUAAAAAAAGAAAUAUCAGUGAGGAAAUUAGCCAUGGACUCACGUGUCGAUGAGCGAGGAGCUGCGUUUGUGAUAGUUUGAUAAGUUUAUUUAGAAAUUUUUGUGAUAGUUGAGCAGGUAAAAAUACCCUUGUCGCAAGUGCCUGCACAUCAUUGGACUGUAUUCUGUUUGUUUCUCAAUCGAUUUUUUUCUAACCAGUAAAAAGAGGACACGAAUACCAAAUGUCCAUAGCUGAUCCUGAAGCAGCAAAAUGCAAACCCUCCAAAAGUCUUCGUAACUUGGUAAUAAGUGACACUUUUAUGACAAACAUCUAAUACCUCAUCGACACAAUGAUAUAAUGACAAAUUCAAAAACACUACUAACCUGAAGUCUCAAUAUGACUAUAUGAUACUUUCGUCAAAAAGAUAGAUAAAAAAAAAAAUGAGUCUAAUAAUAGGCAAAUCGAAAAAUUGGAUAUCAUGAAUCACAUAGUUGGUCAUGGCGACUUGGUGAGACAUUGAACACACGUCAAUAUAUACAUGUGAGCCUGCUUGCUUGGAAGUACUGUUCGCUGAUUUAUUGUGAGAGAAAAAUAAUGUUUGUCAGAUAAGCUCAAACGGAUAGUCUAACAGUCCCUAACUGUAAAGAUAUUGGUUUCAUGGCUGCCUUGUUUAGUUCCUCUCUUAAAGUUUACUUCCUAUCCCAUCCCACCGGAUGUUUGGACAUAUGUAUAGAAUAUUAAAUAUAGACUUAAAAAUAAUUAAUUACACAGAUUCUGACUAUUUCUGCGAGGCGAAUCUUUUAAGUUUAAUUAGUCUAUGAUUUGACAAUGUGGUGCUACAGUAAAGCUACUGCAAAUAUAUACUAAUGAUGGAUUAAUUAGGCUUAAUAAAUUCAUCACACGGAGUAGUGAAAACUUCUGUAAUUUAUUUUAUUAUUACUAUUCGACUACUCACAUGUGACAUCCCGAUGUGACAGCCGAUGUGAUACCCGAGACUAAACCGAAAAGAUGACGACAAUAGCCAUAAUCAGCAGCUGCCUCCUGGUAGUAAUAUGUAAGUAAGCACUAAUGACAGUGACACGGACUACAACUUGCACAUGAAUAAGUACCCACUGGCAGCAGCAUGCACUGGCAUGUAACUCAUCCAAUUGUAUCGCAAUUGACUGAGCACUACUAUGCAUAUCAGUCAUUCACUCAUUUUACGAUCUGAAAAGUGCAACACUUAAUCAGUCAUUGAUACAAAGGUGCAACGCGAUUCAGUCAAUGUUUCUCCCCA
rnacentral:lncRNA from 1 species